UUUGGAUAAUUUUAGCACUUGUAUUAUUGUUACAGGGUUGAGUAAAGAAGGGAAUGUGGAAGAAGGCAGGAAAUUGAUUGAGGAUAGGUGGGGUAAAGGUUGUGUACCAAAUGUUGUUUUUUACAAUACAUUGAUUGAUGGCUACUGCAAGAAGGGUGACAUCAGAAGAGCAUACGGGCUUUUCAAUGAGUUGAAAUUGAAGAGCUUUUUACCCACAGUGGAGACUUAUGGGGCACUGAUAAAUGGGUUUUGUAAAGAUGGGCAUUUUGAGAGAGUUGAUAUGCUUGUGCAGGAGAUGGUUGAGAGAGGUGUGAUUGUCAAUGCCCGAGUGUAUAAUACCAUCAUUGAUGCUAGGUGUAGGCAUGGUUUUACUGUGGAAGCAAUAGACACUGUAAGGAAAAUGGUUGAAGCUGGCAGUAAGCCAGAUAUCGUGACAUAUAACAUAUUGAUCUCUUAUUCAUGCAAGGAUGAGAAAAUUCAGGAAGCUGAAAAGUUUCUAGAUCAGGUUAAGAAUAUGCGGCUGGUGCCUACCAAGUUUACUUAUACUCCUUUGGUACAUGCCUACUGCAAAUUUGGUGAUUUUGAAAGGGCGUUAAGUUUGCUUGCUGAGAUG
rnacentral:misc_RNA from 1 species